AUUUGAGCCGAAAAUGGUAGCAAUUUCCGAAUGCAAUACAAAAGUAUACAAAAUUUGCAAGGCUAUAUUUUCCGCAUUUUACAACAUUUCGCUACCAAACUAUAAUAAUUUUACUCAAUUUAGUAUGCUCUUUCUAGCUGUGGUGAUUUAUUUUAUCUCCUUGCCUAGAUUUAAAAUCAGUCUAUAAUGGGAAAUGUCUAAUCGCGUGAUUUUUAGCGCGGCGUAAUAUUCCCACGUGACUGCACGACCUGAAUAGACAAAGUAGCCACACACAGCCAAAUACGCCCACAUAUAGUCAAAGUAUUCUCGUCUCCAAAGCAGUCACGUAGCAUAUUUUAAAAGUAGCAUAUUUUACAUCCAUUUUCAAAAUUACGCCACCCACCCGAAAAUAAUUGUUUUAUGUCACACGAACAGCUAAAAAUAGCAAAUGUAAACAAAAAACAUUUUAAACUGUACUGUUCAUGCAAGCAUGCCACCCACGAAUUUUAGGGCAGCAAUCAUGCGAGCUGUGACCAGGCUAACAUCGGGCUUAUUGUACUGUGCCAAAAUACAUGUCACUUGAAAUUCAAUAACAUCAUUGACCAACACUCACAUACGCUGUAAUCGAGAAUACAGUAAAACCCCGCAUAAAAGAACCAGUGAAUUUUGACUUCAGGCUGAAGUGGUGCUUAUAUAACAGGUACUUAGAAAGAAAUCAGGGUGAAGUGGUUCUAAACUGGUUCUUAUUU